rnacentral:lncRNA from 1 species
UCUGUGUAGACCAGUCUGGCCUCGAACUCAGAAAUCUGCCUGCCUCUGCCUCCCAGGUGCUGGGAUUAAAGGCAUGUGCCACCACGCCUGGCCCCUAAAAUUAAUAUCUUAACCAAAACUUUGACCAAGUGAGGAUGCCUGGUCUAAAAGUAGAAGAAACCUGAGAAGUUGCUUUAUUUUAAUUAAGGAUUUGGGGCGCCCUUUAUUGCAGACUUCCUUCUCCUCCUGUGGACCUCAUUUACUCAGUGUCUGUAGCUAGUCUGUAGGAACAAGUUAGGAAACACCACAUUUCUUGAUUUUUUUCUUGAAAGUACUUCACUCUAAAAGUCCUGUGGGCACAAGUGUCUGGGCCAUGUGCUUCAGGAAGGAAAAGGAAAGAAAUGCAUGUUAGCAAGCAUGACCCAUUAUGAGUCUGGCCUUAGAGAAGUGAUGUGACUCUGAGCAACCCAGGCUGUGGCUUGGACAGACUAGGACUUGGCCUUGAGAUAAUUUUCCAGGGUUUAAAGGGAACAUAAGAACACUACUGACAGAGUUGUUCUUGGAAUAAGAUGGAAUUGUGAAAUAGUGCCACAUCUCGGGAUCCUGGCAGGCAAGAGUGGGGUGAGCAAGAAAGUUGCAGAGGUGUUUUCCAGGUAGACUAAAAGCUUAAUAUCUCCUGAAGCCAAGGCAUGUUCAAGGAGAACAAGUAUGUAUUGGCCUUAGAUACCUGGCUUGCUACAGUGGGUGAGGGAAUAACACAACAUUCCUUCCACUGCAGGUUGCGUGAUGUUGGUAGCUGGUCAGCAUUAGCCCAGUGCAUUGCACAUAGUAAAUGUUAAAGGAUGCGUGUAAGAAGCUGUCAUUCCCGGGUGGUAUCUCCCUGUGAUCCUAACAAAAGGACACUGUAGAAUAAUUUAAAAAGUAGUGACAAAAAUCUCUACCUUUUGAAAUUUACAGUCACUACAUGAUCAGUACAUAUUUAACAUAUAUUUAUUGAGCACCUCCUAGAUUGUUGUCUGCAGUAUGACGCUACCCUGCCUCUGUUAUAGUGCCACAAAAAAAUCUAGGUCUGCCAUUGCCAUUUUUUGUGAAUGUUGCACUCUGACCACAAGAACACACACACACUAUCUUCCUCCCCACAGCCUUGUCUCUUUCUUUGUAUUUCAGGAUGUCUAACAUAUCAGAAGAUGGAGCCCCAGAGUGGCCUAUGACUCAAGUCAGCUGCCCUCCUCAGGCAGAACGAACAUUGGGCUUUGGAAGCCUAGGUUAAGCAGCUUGUUCUGACAACUCUUCCACAAGACCCCAUGAUCCCAUCACCACUGCAAUCUGGGAAUGGACUAAGUGUCCCCACCCCCAGCUAAUAUGUCUAGCCCUGCAUCUGAGAUUUAAUGGAGAGAGAUCAAAGAAAGAAUAAAGAAAGAUGAAGGUGGGGUGCUGAUGAGAGACCAAAGGCUUAUGUAAGGAACAGAGAACAAGAUGUUGGAUGUCUCUAAGAUGGUCAGGGAGUCUAUUGGAAAUAAACUAUGGAAAGAACAAGGUAUGCUGGAAGAGUGCACACUGCAGAUUCAUCGGCACGCAUGUUUUUUACCUUAAACUACCUUCUGUAAUCUUUGAAUUCCACAUCUGAGACCUGUAAGAUGGCUCAGCAGAUAACAGGUACUUACUGCCCAAGCCUGGCAACGUGACUUUGACCCCUAAGACCCAUGUAAAGUGAAAGGACAGAAGUGGCCACAGAAAGGUAGCAUGUGACCUACAAAACUGUGCCGCCCACGCCUUCAAAGAUUCUUCACACACACGCAAUAAUGAUUGAUUGAUUAAAUUCCACAUCUGUGACAUUAAGAGGUCUCUAAAGUCCCUCCACCACGACUGCAAAGGAAUGACCACCAAGAUAGUCUUAGAGUUGUUACAUUCAGUGGUAAUAACAGUGUCUUGCAAGCCGGGCAGUGGGCGUGCACGCCUUUUAUCCCAG